rnacentral:rRNA from 1 species
AGCGGAGGAAAGGAAACCAACCGGGAUUGCCUUAGUAACGGCGAGUGAAGCGGCAAAAGCUCAAAUUUGAAAUCUGGUACCUUCGGUGCCCGAGUUGUAAUUUGGAGAGGGCAACUUUGGGGCCGUUCCUUGUCUAUGUUCCUUGGAACAGGACGUCAUAGAGGGUGAGAAUCCCGUGUGGCGAGGAGUGCGGUUCUUUGUAAAGUGCCUUCGAAGAGUCGAGUUGUUUGGGAAUGCAGCUCUAAGUGGGUGGUAAAUUCCAUCUAAAGCUAAAUAUUGGCGAGAGACCGAUAGCGAACAAGUACAGUGAUGGAAAGAUGAAAAGAACUUUGAAAAGAGAGUGAAAAAGUACGUGAAAUUGUUGAAAGGGAAGGGCAUUUGAUCAGACAUGGUGUUUUGUGCCCUCUGCUCCUUGUGGGUAGGGGAAUCUCGCAUUUCACUGGGCCAGCAUCAGUUUUGGUGGCAGGAUAAAUCCAUAGGAAUGUAGCUUGCCUCGGUAAGUAUUAUAGCCUGUGGGAAUACUGCCAGCUGGGACUGAGGACUGCGACGUAAGUCAAGGAUGCUGGCAUAAUGGUUAUAUGCCGCCCGUCUU